UACGGAGGGCUCAAGCGUUGUUCGGAUUCAUUGGGCGUAAAGGGCGCGUAGGCGGCGCGGUAAGUCGGGUGUGAAAUCUCGGAGCUUAACUCCGAAACUGCAUUCGAUACUGCCGUGCUUGAGGACUGGAGAGGAGACUGGAAUUUACGGUGUAGCGGUGAAAUGCGUAGAUAUCGUAAGGAAGACCAGUGGCGAAGGCGGGUCUCUGGGCCACUACUGACGCUGAGAAGCGAAAGCAUGGGGAGCGAACAGG
rnacentral:rRNA from 1 species